UACGUAGGGUGCGAGCGUUAAUCGGAAUUACUGGGCGUAAAGCGUGCGCAGGCGGUUUUGUAAGCCAGAUGUGAAAUCCCCGGGCUUAACCUGGGAAUGGCAUUUGGGACUGCAAGGCUUGAGUGCGGCAGAGGAGACUGGAAUUCCUGGUGUAGCAGUGAAAUGCGUAGAUAUCAGGAGGAACACCGAUGGCGAAGGCAGGUCUCUGGGCUGACACUGACGUUCAGGCACGAAAGCGUGGGGAGCAAACAGG
rnacentral:rRNA from 1 species